rnacentral:lncRNA from 1 species
UGCUUUGAUCUCUCAACAUCUUUGUAAUAAAAGUGACAAUUGGAGGUAAUGCAUUUGAAAUAAAUAUAAGAGCAACAAAAUUCACCUUUUGCCAUAUGAGUUUAAUGUUUAGUGUAUAUAGAAAUCAUGAAAACUGCAUAUUCUUUCUGGGCGUGUUAACUGAAGAAUAAUAUACAAUUACUGAUCAAAAAAAUAAUGAUACAUAUUUGCUUGGAUUAUGUGAUGAUUAUAAGUUUUUCUCGCAACAUCUUCCUCACUUUAGUACUAACUUGAUAAUUUGAGUUUGUUUCAACGGUAGUAUAUGCAUUUUCUUUCAACAAAAGUUACAAGACUUCAUUGUUUCUUGUCAGACUUUUUGUAAGCUAUUUAUGGUCUUUGUAAUAUUUACUACAUGACUAUUUCUCAUUUCUCGGGUGUCUCACAGUUUGUUAUUGCUUUGGAGGGUAAUUAUUUGAAUGUUCAGUUGUAGCCCUGCAUAAAAAAAGUACUUAUUUCGUUACUAAGUUGCAGUAACAUCAUCUAAGUAAGACUGCACUAUAAAUAUACUCUAUGUUACGAAAUAUCAAGCAAAAGAUCAAGAGAUCCUAUAUACUUUAAUACUAAGUGCAGAACAUUCAACUUCAAGAUUAAUAAGACAUGGAGAAGGUAACAGGAAGAGUUUUCGAUCAGCACAUCUAAUUUAGGGAAAACCUUGUCAGAAUAUUAAAGGUUUACCUUUUGUACUUGAAUAAUAUUAAUUAUCAAGUAUUGUACAAUAUCGAACAAAAAAGAGAUCAAGGAAUCAUGAAGCUAUAAGGUACUCGAGCUUUUUGAUCCCUUGAAAUCCUUUAAACCUUUGGAUUCAACUCUCAUUUUUAACAUGGAAGCAAUAUAAGUCUGAACUCCAACCCAUUAGACGGGGCAUCAAUUAAAUGAUCAUUUGAACUUCUAGACCUUAAACAUGAAAUGGAGCUACUAAUAAUUUUUCUCACUCGCUGCGAAUAGAGAGAGAGCUAUAUAAACGGCAGAGGUCUAAAAGUAUGUUUGAGGAAACUAACAUGCAACCCAUGGGAUCUAUGAUUAGAAAGAAAGCUUACAUGCUAUUAAAUUGAUAGGCUAAAAAUAGAGAUAUCAACACCGUCCCCGCUACUGCCAAAAUAAGCUCGAAACACCAAGUGACGAAACACACACAGAGAUGAGAAUAAAACCAUAUACAAUGCAAAUCCAAAAGAGAUAAUAAAUAAAUUAUUGGUUAUUUGAUGAUAGUGAAAUGUUUUGAGAAAUAGACUGAAAAAAUCUGUUUUGCUACGUUUCUAUCAAGGCUUAUGUACUACUGCUGAACAUCAUAAGAAACCUACGUAUUUUUCUACUUUAAGUAUCCGAUCUAUUGUCUUUGAAACCCUGUUUGGAUCCUUUUGCACCCACCCCCUCUCCCCUCCCCGCCACUUCAUAUCUUUCUUUUAUUUUUUCUUUCUUCAUCCAUUUUUUUUUGUAGUUAGUCACUAUUUGGAUUAUUACCUUAAGAAGGAAAGGUGAAGAGAGUGACAAUUCUUAUUAAUUGUGCUUUCUAUCUUUUCAACAAUCAUACAACGUAACAUAAUUAUCUUAGUUUUCCUUUUUUCAAUCUUUGUCUCUUGCAAAUCACUCUCAAAAAAAUAUUGUGACAUUCAAAUGGUAAGGAGGAGGAGGAGGAGGAGGAAGAAGAAGAAGAAGAUAUAAAAGUUUCACCCAAAUCCAUAUGCUUAAACUCAUACCUUGCCAAAACCGAAUAUCAAUUUGAAGACGAACACUGUGAAAUCCAAAUGGAAUGGAAAAUGACAAAGAGUAAAGAAUUUCACUGGAGUACCCCUAGCGACUCAUACUCUCUCAAAACCUGAUAUACAAAGUGAAAAAGAAGAAAUUUAAUACAUAGAUACAUGAGAUAAAACACCAUUUGAAGUGCAAAAAAUUUGUACCAAAUUUGAAUAGCAUAAUGAUGAAUGUAUCCAAUUCUAACAUGCAUAAAACACACAUUCCUACACAAUUACGCAACUUAAACUAUAAAUACAAAAAAUAAACAACCAAAAAGAAAAUCUAAUAAACGCAAAGUCAUACCAAAGAUGGAAUCUAGAAUAUUGUUUAACAUCAAAACAUAAACUCAUAAUUAGGAUAACUAACAAAGAAAUUCAGAAAGCAGCAAUAUAUAUAUAUACCAACCAAUAAGGAAAACAAAAGGUUGUAUCAAUUAAACCUUACUAGACUCUCAUGGGCUCAUGGCCCUUUGAUCAUGUUGAAAAGUGAUGAAAAAGUAAAACUUCUAAAUCCAUAUUAAUGAAUGCAGCAAUGUCAAUCUAAAAAAUAAAUCUUUUGAAACGUGGGUAUGAGAACCAAAACCUCAAAAGUCAAGCAGUAGACUUGAACAACAAAGGAACACAUUAGAAGCGAAUCAAAAUAAUGAGCAAUCUAAACAGAUGAAUAUGGAAGUAAUUAAGUUAUGAAAUAAUAAGUUUAAAUGGAGGAAGGAUCACAGGUAGAGGUUACUUAUUUAAAUUGGACGCGUAUUUAGAAGAGAUAUAUCAAAUUAGUUUUUUUCUUUUAAAUAAUAAAUCAAUAUAUCUAGAAAAUAGAAUAAAGGCAAAAUAUUUAUGAAGAAAAAUAAAUAGAUCCUUGAAAGACUUUAAAUGAUGAUAAAUAAGCGGAGAAUAUAUUUCCAUUUGAGUAGCACAUAAUGUAUCUUUAUUUGGGUCCAAAAUUUGUAUAUACAAACGACAUAUCAACCGUAAGAAAGAGAUUAUCAAAUUUACUGCACUUAAAGUAAAGUUUCAGGCUUCUCAAUCAUUAUUAUCAAAAUUAAGCUGCUAAAAAAGGUAAAACACUCCAAAAGACUUAUUUCUAAUGGGUAUCCUAAAUAAAACAUGAUCCUUAUACAAUCCAACUAAAAAGUAUAAACCAAUAAACACUCCAGAAGACUUAUUUCUAAUGGGUCACCAGUCUACCUUGUGCUUCCGAUGUUUAAACUUUGUCACAAAUCAACACUAUUUGUCUGUCACAAAAUCAACACUAUUUGUCAUUUAUUACAAAAAUCAAAUAAAAUAAGAUCGGCAAAAGAAUCAGCAAAAUUAAUAUGCAUUUGUCUACUUUCCAUCUAAAAAUUCAUAUUGAUCGAAUAUAAGUAAGUGCUAACAGAUUAUGUAAAGAAACAUAUUAGAUGUUCUCUGAAUUGAUGUAAACAUCGGGUGGAAAUGAUAAAAUAUGUAUCAUUAAAACUAUUACUCGCAAGUUUAUGUUAGUGUCUAAGUGAAGCAAAUUCGGGCAGUACACACAGUAAUUAAGUAGAAAUAGAUCUUGGUGCAAAAAUUAACUUAGAAGAGAAAGGGGAGAAGGAAAACAAUACCAAGUAAUGAUAAUAGUGGUUGAUCUUUUACUGAAAAAAAAUACUUCUCUUCUCCUUUGUGAUUGAAGCACCAAAAAAGUGAGGCCAAGUGACGAAAAGCUUGAAAUUAUUGUGACAACAUCUACUGAAAUCACAAUCAAAAAUUGUUUUUUCAAUUUAAAAAAAUCAAGAGAGAAAAAAAUGAAGAACAAUCUGGAAAAUACACUUUCAGUUUUUCAUUUACCGACCCUUUUUGUCGCUUAAGUUACCAACUUGAAUGAAAACUAUUGGGUUUCAAUUCAGAUCACCACAUGUGAUGCAAUUUUGACAUUGGCUAGGGUUGUCCAAAUUGCAAAGAAAGGAAAGAGUAACAACUUUUUUCCCAUGAAAAAGAGAGUAGCAGCAGAAUAAAGGGUUUGUUAGAAACGGUUGGAAACCAUUAUUAAGAGGAAACGUUUGGGUUUCCCAAAUAAUUUAACCGUUUACU